rnacentral:rRNA from 1 species
UACGUAGGGUGCAAGCGUUAAUCGGAAUUACUGGGCGUAAAGCGUGCGCAGGCGGUUAUGUAAGACAGUUGUGAAAGCCCCGGGCUCAACCUGGGAACUGCGGUUGAAACUGGCGAACUAGAAUCUGGCAGAGGGGGGUGGAAUUCCACGUGUAGCAGUGAAAUGCGUAGAGAUGUGGAGGAACACCGAUGGCGAAGGCGGGUCUCUGGGCCGGAUACUGACGCUGAGGAGCGAAAGCGUGGGGAGCGAACAGG